rnacentral:misc_RNA from 1 species
AACAUCGCGCACCUGCGGGAACCUGCGGAAGGAUCAUUACAGAGUUGCAAAACUCCCUAAACCAUUGUGAACGUUACCUAAACCGUUGCUUCGGCGGGCGGCCCGGGUCCUUCCCGGCGCCCAUCGGCCCUCGCGGGCGCCCGCCGGAGGUAAACCAAACUAUUGCAUUGUAUGGCCUCUCUGAGUCUUCUGUACUGAAUAAGCCAAAACUUUCAGCAACGGAUCUCAGAUCGGAAGAGC